GAUGAAGAACGUAGCGAAAUGCGAUAAGUAAUGCGAAUUGCAGAAUUCAGUGAGUCAUCGAAUCUUUGAACGCACAUUGCGCCCUGUGGUAUUCCACAGGGCAUGCCUGUUCGAGCGUCAUUUCAACCCUCAAGCUCUGCUUGGUGUUGGGCCCUGCCCGCUGCGGCCGGCCCUAAAGACAGUGGCGGUGCCGCCUGGCCCUGAGCGUAGUACAUCUCUCGCUCCAGUGCCCGGUGGUAGCCUGCCAGAACCCCAACUCUCGUGGUUGACCUCGGAUCAGGUAGGGAUACCCGCUGAACUUAAGCAUAUCAAUAAGCGGAGGA
rnacentral:misc_RNA from 1 species